CUAGUGUUAAUGUUUUAGCAGAACUGGGGCAAGAGUCCGUUUCUUACAUCAAGUCACAUGACCCCAGCCACUGAGUGAAGAAUGCCCUGUUUCAAGACAGGAGAGGAAGCAGUGGGUCCAGGUGGGCAACAGGAGCUGUCCAGGAGCCGAAGAAUUGAUGCUUUUGAACUGUGGUGUUGGAGAAGACUCUUGAGAGUCCCUUGGACUGCAAGGAGAUCCAACCAGUCCAUUCUGAAGGAGAUCAGCCCUGGGAUUUCUUUGGAAGGAAUGAUGCUAAAGCUGAAACUCUAGUACUUUGGCCACCUCAUGCGAAGAGUUGAUUCAUUGGAAAAAACCCUGAUGCUGGGAGGGAUUGGGGGCAGGAGGAGAAGGGGACGACAGAGGAUGAGAUGGCUGGAUGGCAUCACUGACUCGAUGGACGUGAGUCUCAGUGAACUCCGGGAGUUAGUGAUGGACAGGGAGGCCUGGCGUGCUGAGAUUCAUGGGGUCGCAAAGAGUCGGACACGACUGGCUGAUCUGAUCUGAUCUGAUGGAAGGAUCUGCUGCAUUAAUCCUGCUGAUGUUUGAGUCCAUCUAGUCUACUUAAUUCAAGCCUCAUAAGCCCAAUGUCUAUGGUUCUUAUAAUGUUUCCUUGCCAUUAUUUGGAAUAGUAGAACAAGAGACCAUGUAAUAGCUGUCAUGCGAUGAACAAAUUUACUUCUGCCGAGUCUCAUUUAUUUCAGCAAAACGGAGUUUGUAACAUCAGAGGCUGAUGUCACAAAGUUAAUGAAGUGAGUCUGAAACACCGGGAGAUGGAUGUACUGGAGAUACCGUAUCUGGAAAGGUCACUUGGCAACCCUGUAGCGGCGUGGAGGCACAGAUUCAGCUUUCGUGCCUGCUGUCUGAGCCCUUUGGCCAGGCCUCAAGGGGGCUUCCCUGGUGGCUCAGUGGUAAAGAAUCUGCCUGCCGAUGCAAGAGACACAAGAAAUGUGGGUUCAGUCCCUGGAUUGGGAAGAUCCCCUGGAGGAAAUAGCAACCCACUCCAGUAUUCUUGCAAAAUCCCAUGGACCGAGGAGCCUGCUGGGCUACAGUCCACAGGGUCACAAAGAGUCAGAAAUGGCUUAGCAACUAAACAACAGCAACAAAUCCUGAGGGCUUGGGGGUUAUUUGGUCUCUUGGAGAUGAGCUGACUGCAGUACAGAGAGCUUACAUGUUCAGCUGAGCAACAGACGUCAGACCUGAAAUCAAGACACACCAUGUUACAGAUGGAAGAUUUCAAGUGCCCAACAUCUGGAAAAUGUCUGGUUUUGCUAAAACCAGAACAUCUGAUAUAGUCUUGAUUUUCCUUGUAGAUUAUAUUUUGCUUAAAAUGAAGGAAUCAUGGGUGGGAGCUGUUGUACUUCAUUUUUAUCAGCAAGAGUUAAAAAAAAAAUCUCAUAGAUGAUGGAGCA
ensembl:lncRNA